GAUGAACGCUAGCUACAGGCUUAACACAUGCAAGUCGAGGGGAAACGAUAGAGAAAGCUUGCUUUUUCUAGGCGUCGACCGGCGCACGGGUGAGUAACGCGUAUCCAACCUGCCCAUCACUUGGGGAUAACCUUGCGAAAGUAAGACUAAUACCCAAUGACGUCUCUAGAAGACAUCUGAAAGAGAUUAAAGAUUUAUCGGUGAUGGAUGGGGAUGCGUCUGAUUAGCUUGUUGGCGGGGUAACGGCCCACCAAGGCGACGAUCAGUAGGGGUUCUGAGAGGAAGGUCCCCCACAUUGGAACUGAGACACGGUCCAAAACUCCUACGGGAGGCAGCAGUGAGGAAUAUUGGGUCCAAAUGGACGAGAGUCUGAACCAGCCAAGUAGCGUGCAGGAUGACGGCCCUAUGGGUUGUAAACUGCUUUUAUAAGGGAAUAAAGUGAGUCUCGUGAGACUUUUUGCAUGUACCUUAUGAAUAAGGACCGGCUAAUUCCGUGCCAGCAGCCG
rnacentral:rRNA from 1 species